rnacentral:rRNA from 1 species
GAUGAACGCUGGCGGCGUGUCUAACACAUGCAAGUCGAACGGAGUCCAGCCUUUAAGACCUUCGGGUCAAAGAGGGGAAGACUGAGUGGCGGACGGGUGAGUAACACGUGGGCAACCUGGCUCAUAGAGGGGGAUAACAGAGAGAAAUUUCUGCUAAUACCGCAUAAGCACACACUGCCGCAUGGCAGAGGGUGAAAAGAGAAUCGCUAUGAGAUGGACCCGCGUCUGAUUAGCCAGUUGGCAGGGUAAGAGCCUACCAAAGCGACGAUCAGUAGCCGAUCUGAGAGGAUGAACGGCCACAUUGGGACUGAGACACGGCCCAAACUCCUACGGGAGGCAGCAGUGGGGGAUAUUGCACAAUGGGGGGAACCCUGAUGCAGCGACGCCGCGUGAGUGAAGAAGUAUUUCGGUAUGUAAAGCUCUAUCAGCAGGGAAGAUAAUGACAGUACCUGAAUAAGAAGCCCCGGCUAACUACGUG